rnacentral:pre_miRNA from 1 species
UAGUAAGUUUAGGGAGUGUUUGCAAUCACUAAAAAAAAGUGAUUCUCAACUUCCGGUUGGAAAGAAGUAGUGUUUAGUGUUUGCAAAUAUCAGUUUCGGCUUCUGA